rnacentral:rRNA from 1 species
AAUAUUAAAGGUCUGGUCUGCCCGGUGUAAUUAUUAACGGCCGCGGUAUUCUGACUGUGCAAAGGUAGCAUAAUCACUUGCCCUUUAAAUGGGGGAAUGUAUGAAUGAUUAGACGAGGUUUCGACUGUCUUUCCCCUAAAAACUGAGAUUUCAGUGUCUGUGAAAAUGCGGGCAUGGCCGUAAUGGACGAGAAGACCCUGUUGAGCUUGAAGACUAUAUAUUAGCGUCUGUUAGAAUAAAAUAAUUAAUUAUCACCAAACAUGCGUAAUUAAACGGUCUUUUGGCUGGGGUGGCAAGCAAAGGAAUUAAGCUUUGAUAUUAAAAUUUACAUUUUUAGGCUGUUUAUGCCAAGGAAUAUUAAUACAGAUCCGCUAAGAGCGAUUAAUAGAUAAAGUUACCACAGGGAUAACAGCGUAAUUCUUUUUGAGAGCCCAUAUUGACAAAAGGGUUUGCGACCUCGAUGUUGGAUCAAGAUUCCUAAUGGUGUAGCAGCUAUUACGGGUUUGCCUGUUCGGCGAUUAAAAUCUUACGUGAUCUGAGUUCAGACCGUCGUAAGACAGGUUAGAUUCUAUCCUUACAUUCACAUAUUUAGUACGAAAGGACCAAUGGUGUGUAAUUUUAAGGUUUUUUUAAAUUAUA